rnacentral:rRNA from 1 species
UGGGGAAUAUUGCGCAAUGGGGGGAACCCUGACGCAGCCAUGCCGCGUGAAUGAAGAAGGCCUUAGGGUUGUAAAGUUCUUUCGGUAUUGAGGAAGGUUGAUGUGUUAAUAGCACAUCAAAUUGACGUUAAAUACAGAAGAAGCACCGGCUAACUCCGUGCCAGCAGCCGCGGUAAUACGGAGGGUGCGAGCGUUAAUCGGAAUAACUGGGCGUAAAGGGCACGCAGGCGGUUAUUUAAGUGAGGUGUGAAAGCCCCGGGCUUAACCUGGGAAUUGCAUUUCAGACUGGGUAACUAGAGUACUUUAGGGAGGGGUAGAAUUCCACGUGUAGCGGUGAAAUGCGUAGAGAUGUGGAGGAAUACCGAAGGCGAAGGCAGCCCCUUGGGAAUGUACUGACGUUCAUGUGCGAAAGCGUGGGGAGCAAACAGGAUUAGAUACCCUGGUAGUCCACGCUGUAAACGCUGUCGAUUUGGGGGUUGGGGUUUAACUCUGGCGCCCGUAGCUAACGUGAUAAAUCGACCGCCUGGGGAGUACGGCCGCAAGGUUA